GAUGAGCGCUGGCGGCGUGCCUAAUACAUGCAAGUCGAGCGGUAAGGCCCCUUCGGGGGUACACGAGCGGCGGACGGCUGAGUAACACGUAGGAACGUACCCCAAAGUGAGGGAUAACUGCUCGAAAGAGUAGCUAAUACAGCAUGUGAUCCACGGAUUAAAGCUUUAUGCGCUUUGGGAACGGCCUGCGUCCGAUUAGCUUGUUGGUGAGGUGAUAGCUCACCAAGGCGAUGAUCGGUAGCUGGUCUGAGAGGAUGAUCAGCCAGACUGGGACUGAGACACGGCCCAGACUCCUACGGGAGGCAGCAGUAGGGAAUUUUCCACAAUGGGCGAAAGCCUGAUGGAGCAACGCCGCGUGCAGGAUGAAUGCCUUAGGGUUGUAAACUGCUUUUAAUAGUGACGAUUAUGACGGUAACUAUUGAAUAAGGACCUGCUAACUACGUGCCAGCCGCCGCGGUAA
rnacentral:rRNA from 1 species